rnacentral:rRNA from 1 species
CAGUAGCCACGGUAAUACGUGGGGUGCGAGCGUUAAUCGGAAUUACUGGGCGUAAAGCGUGCGCAGGCGGUUCGUUAAGACAGAUGUGAAAGCCCUGGGCUCAACCUAGGAAUUGCAUUUGAUACUGUUUGGCUUGAGUUCGGGAGAGGUGAGUGGAAUUCCCAGUGUAGAGGUGAAAUUCGUAGAUAUUGGGAAGAACACCAGUGGCGAAGGCGGCGACCUGGUCCUUGACUGACGCUGAGGCGCGAAAGCGUGGGGAGCAAACAGGAUUAGAUACCCCUGUAGUCCCUGUCUCUUAUAC